UUGGGGAAGCAGGAAGACGGAGAAUAAACAGGUUCCCCCUCCCUCCCAGGUACCUGGAGGCCUCUCCACACGCCCACACUCCACUGGCACGAACCAUGGAGUAAAUGGCAUAGCUGAAGUUAAAGAACUCAGAACGUAAAUCAGCUGAAGAAUAAAAUUAAGCGGAUCAAACUGUUUCUAUCUCCAAACAAGAGAAACCCUGUUUCUAUUGG